UAGGUUGGUGCAAAAGUAAUUGCAGUUUUUGCUAUUACUUUUACGGCAAAAACCGCAAUUACUUUUGCACCAGCCUAAUAUU
rnacentral:miRNA from 1 species